GAUGAACGCUGGCGGCGUGCCUAAUACAUGCAAGUCGAGCGAACGGACGAUAAGCUUUCUUCUCUGAUGUUAGCGGCUGACGGGUGAGUAACACGUGGAUCACCUACUUCUAUUACUUGGAUAACUUCGUGAAACAGCAUCUACUACCACAUAAUAUUUUCUACCGCAUGGUUCAAAAGUUCAUGACGGUCUUGCUGUCACUUAUAGCUGGUUCCGCGCUGGAUUAGCUAGUUGGUAAGGUAACGGCUUACCAAGGCAACGAUGCGUAGCCGACCUGAGAGGGUGAUCGGCCACACUGGAACUGAGACACGGUCCAGACUCCUACGGGAGGCAGCAGUAGGGAAUCUUCCGCAAUGGGCGAAAGCCUGACGGAGCAACGCCGCGUGAGUGAUGAAGGUCUUCGGAUCGUAAAACUCUGUUAUUAGGGAAGAACAGAUGUGUAAGUAACUGUGCACAUCUUGACGGUACCUAAUCAGAAAGCCACGGCUAACUACGUG
rnacentral:rRNA from 1 species